rnacentral:tRNA from 1 species
AGCCCCGAGGUGUUCUACACAUUAGAUUGCAAAUCUUAAGUAGCAGGCUAACGCCUGCCGGGGCUU